UGCAUUCACUAUUAUAAGUCGCUCUGGAUAAGAGCGUCUGCUAAAUGACUAAAA
rfam:Salmo salar isolate Sally breed double haploid chromosome ssa25, whole genome shotgun sequence.